UACGUAGGGCGCAAGCGUUGUCCGGAAUUAUUGGGCGUAAAGAGCUCGUAGGCGGUUUGUCGCGUCUGUCGUGAAAGCCCACGGCUUAACCGUGGGUCUGCGGUGGAUACGGGCAGACUAGAGGCAGGUAGGGGAGAAUGGAAUUCCCGGUGUAGCGGUGAAAUGCGCAGAUAUCGGGAGGAACACCCGUGGCGAAGGCGGCUCUCUGGAACGCAACUGACGCUGAGACGCGAAAGCGUGGGGAGCAAACAGG
rnacentral:rRNA from 1 species